AUUGAACGCUGGCGGCAUGCUUUACACAUGCAAGUCGAACGGCAGCACGGGCUUCGGCCUGGUGGCGAGUGGCGAACGGGUGAGUAAUGCAUCGGAACGUGCCCAUUUGUGGGGGAUAACUACGCGAAAGCGUGGCUAAUACCGCAUACGCCCUGAGGGGGAAAGCGGGGGAUUCUUCGGAACCUCGCGCAAUUGGAGCGGCCGAUGUCAGAUUAGCUUGUUGGUGAGGUAAAGGCUCACCAAGGCGACGAUCUGUAGCGGGUCUGAGAGGAUGAUCCGCCACACUGGGACUGAGACACGGCCCAGACUCCUACGGGAGGCAGCAGUGGGGAAUUUUGGACAAUGGGGGCAACCCUGAUCCAGCCAUGCCGCGUGAGUGAAGAAGGCCUUCGGGUUGUAAAGCUCUUUCAGCCGGGAAGAAAGCGCACUCUCUAACAUAGGGUGUGGAUGACGGUACCGGAAGAAGAAGCACCGGCUAACUACGUGCCAGCCGCCGCAGUAAGAC
rnacentral:rRNA from 1 species